GAUGAACGCUGGCGGCGUGCCUAACACAUGCAAGUCGAGCGCGCAGCCACUGGUAGCAAUACCGGUGGUGGGCGAGCGGCGAACGGGUGCGUAACACGUGGGCAACCUGCCCCAGACUCUGGGAUAACUCCGGGAAACCGGGGCUAAUACCGGAUACUCUCGGCCGGCCGCAUGAUCGGCCGAGGAAAGCUCCGACGGUCUGGGAUGGGCCCGCGGCCUAUCAGCUUGNGGUGNGGUAACGGCUCACCAAGGCGACGACGGGUAGCUGGUCUGAGAGGACGCCAGCCACACUGGGACUGAGAUACGGCCCAGACUCCGUACGGGAGGCAGCAGGUGGGGAAUCUUGCGCAAUGGGACGAAGCCUGACGCAGCGACGCCGCGUGAGGGA
rnacentral:rRNA from 1 species